CCUAACACAUGCAAGUCGAACGGUAACAGGAAACAGCUUGCUGUUUCGCCGACGAGUGGCGGACGGGUGAGUAAUGUCUGGGAAACUGCCUGAUGGAGGGGGAUAACUACUGGAAACGGUAGCUAAUACCGCAUAACGUCGCAAGACCAAAGAGGGGGACCCUCGGGCCUCUUGCCAUCGGAUGUGCCCAGAUGGGAUUAGCUUGUUGGUGGGGUAACGGCUCACCAAGGCGACGAUCCCUAGCUGGUCUGAGAGGAUGACCAGCCACACUGGAACUGAGACACGGUCCAGACUCCUACGGGAGGCAGCAGUGGGGAAUAUUGCACAAUGGGCGCAAGCCUGAUGCAGCCAUGCCGCGUGUAUGAAGAAGGCCUUCGGGUUGUAAAGUACUUUCAGCGGGGAGGAAGGGAGUAAAGUUAAUACCUUUGCUCAUUAACGUUACCCGCAGAAGAAGCACCGGCUAACUCCGUGCCAGCAGCCGCGGUAAUACGAGGGUGCAAGCGUUAAUCGGAAUUACUGGGCGU
rnacentral:rRNA from 1 species